GGUGGGGUGGGGUGGAGAAAUUGGCCAUGCAGAAGGGGAAAAUCCCCUUCCUAAAAUCAGCAGCCGAUUGUGCACCAGCUGGUCGGGGGAGAGGGUGGACCACGCCCCUAGGAGCUCCUUUGGGAUGGGAAAGACAGCCCGGUAUUACCUGUUGGAAACCAGGUCUCUUCUCUUCUCCCCUUCCCUUGCUUCUAUCCUGGGAUUGUCAGUGACCAGAGAAGGGCUAACAUCCUGGAUAAUAAGUAUGGUGACUCAUUUUCAUCAGGAAGAGGGACACAUCCAAGAUUAGCAAGAAUCAGAGCCCCUCCUUCCCUCCCCCACUGCCCAGGUUUUACAGCCAUUUCCAAUUGCUCGCUUAUUUCUUGAAAGACAUUUUAGAAACUUGAUUGGGGUGAGAGUGGGAAGGAAUGACGAGUGUGGUAUUCCUCAGCAACCAACCAUGCCAUAACAGUCUCCAAAAGACGCUUUCAAACAUUUGUUGGAAUGCAUUUGAGUGAUUUUGGCAAAGGUUAAGGAGAAAAAUGGGUGUGGGAUAUGGGUGAGUGUGUGCAUGUGUGUGCCUGUGGCAGGGGUGGGGGUGUGGUGGGGGCAAUCUUGGUCAAAGAAGCCCUUUGCAGACUGAUUGUCUUAGGGGUGGGGUGCAAGAGAUAGAAUUUGAGUAUUAUUUCCAGUGCAGCUAUUGGAAAUUGGACAAUUUGUAAUACACUGCCUGAAUCCAAAUGGGGUGGAAGAGAGUGGAGAAGAAGCAGCCUGCCAGCUUAGCACGUUUAGCCAGCGCCCUGGAAGGAAGGGUGGGGAGUGAGGAUGAAGGAGAAGGAACAGGAAGGGUAAGGGAGACAGAAGCAGAAUGUAAGAACAGUGGGUGUAGAGGUUUGGCAUGCAUAAAUAAAUAAAUAAGGUAGCAGCCAUCCUGGAUUGUAUGGGGCUAUUUGGGGAAAAGUCAGAUAGUGGGAGAUUGUGAGGAGGGGGUGUUUGCAGCAUCUCCUGAAACUGCCCUAUGGUUACAGAGAUGGAUGCUUCCAUUGGCUCGUUUUUUCAAACUAGGACAUUUUCUCUCCUUGUCCUCCUUCAUUUUAAUAUAUAAAUGUAAUAAAUACAGGUGUCUGGGUUAAGAACACUGUCAAAGAAAAGUCCUGAGGUUACUUCACUGGUGAGCUGGGGAAAUAAAAUUUAGGAAGGUGGAGCACUAAGUAAACCAAAGCUAUUCACUUAAAAAGCUUUAAUUUUGGAAAGAAAAAUAUUCAGGUUUAUAACUUGUUCCCACCCUGUAUGUACACAGACAAGUAUACAUACAUCUCCUUUAAUAAAGGAAACCAUGUAUGAUUUUUAGAAAGGGAAUUAGGGCUAAAGGAAUUCCCUUCCCAAAAUGUCUUCAUUUUGGGGUUCUAUCUCACCAACCACCCCAAGCAUUCACUCUGAUGUGCAAAGUGAUGAAGCUGAAAUUGUGUGUUUAGAGUUGUGGAAAUUCACAUGUAAAUGUGUACAGCAUCCACAUACUUCAUAUGCUACAGUUGCAUGUGUAAGUGUGGUUUCCACAUGCUUCCCUGUGUUUUAGCAUCAUUUGUAUUCAAAAGAGAAAAUGAAAGGUAUAGAAAUUGUCCUUAUUUUGCUCAUGCAUUUCAUAAUGUGUACUUCUAUGUGAAAUGAUCAUGUUUCUUAUAUACCACUGUCGUGUAUCAUUCACAUUAGCCAGUAUUUAGGAUACCAUUCAAUCAGACUAAAGGAAAUGGUGUAUUCAGGGCGUGGGCUCACACUACAUUGACUGGCAUUUAUGUAGCAUGAGUACUUAAGUUUCACGCAGGUUUCCUGCUUGUGGAUGAAAUUCUAUAUCGUUUAUGACAAAAUCUAGUGGUUUCCAACCUUCUGCUGGCAUCUAUUCAUCAUCCUAAUACUUAACAGGGAAUAAAACAAGGGCAAAAACCUGCAAAGGUCUAAACUCUGCCACACCCAUAAAAUCCAGCAGAAAUGUGGGAGGGGGCUGAAGGGCUUGCACUUCCUUCCUCUUCCACUUGAGCGGCAUAAAGAAGCAACCUUGGAUUUCUAAGUUGGAAUACAUUGCCAGUGGAUGAGAAAAAAAUCAUAAAUUAUCUAUAUUAGCCAUUAGUUACCACUAUAGAUUAUUACAGCAGGAAGAAGAGAAUGAGGGUGGCAUGGAGUUGAGAAUAUGGUAAAGGAGUGGGCAAUGGAGGAAUAAAAUAAAAGAAUCCCUAAGAUUGUACUGCCUUAUGAUUUUCAAACAUCUUUGGGCUUACUUUCAGUAGCUUAAUUGCCAUGUGGAUUCCAAAUGAUUAAAAACUUGGCAAGGUAUGAUCUGUGUCUGCAAAGCAAGAAAACUAUGAGGUGUUUCUUUUGUUGAAAAAGAAUGACUUUAGUUUGUAACUGAAGUGUAAAGAAUUUCAUGCAAGCAAGGAGUCCCUCUACUCCCCAGCCCCCUAUUCAAGCCAAAAUCAGCUUUUUACCUCAUGCAACAAAUAAAUGUUAUCUCUGAGAGUGUGAUCUGUGAUUUAGAAUUCCAACCUCACUGUGCCUUUUCCUGCAGUGCUGGGAAGGUGUGGAAGGUGCUGCCUUGCUGCUUGGUGCAGGCGAUUCUUCCUAGUGAUAAAUGGGAUUCCUCCCAAAGCUCUCUGAGCCACACCCAGUGUCACCCAGGGACUUAGUGAAUUAAUUAAGCUGAGAUAUUUUACUUAAUAUAAUUGAAGCUUCUUGUAUUUUUUUUCAAUAGUGUUUUUCACCACAGGUUUGCAAAUUUAAACAGAAAAAAAUACUUGAAGGGCACUUUCCUUCUUUUCUUUUCAUUUCUUUUUUUCCCAAAUUAUCUGGACUUGUAGAGAACCUUAGAAAAUUCAUGGUGAGUCUCGAAAAUGUUCAUUUCUGGUGACUCUGUAAUUCCUUCAAACCCAUGCCAGGGCCCAUACACAAUGAGCCCUGAUUUCUCCUGUUGACAGAGUCUGUGUAACUCUCUUCCCCAGCCCCCUCCCUUACCAACCCAUGCUGAGGCAACUGGAAUAAGAAAAUGCAGAGUUAAUUUUUUUUCUUGCUGAGCUGGCAAAACUACAGAAACCUUCUUUGAUGUUUCAUGCUAAAGGGCAGUACUCUUGUUCACCAAGAGGGACGGUAGCUUGGGGUCUCCUUUGCUUCUGUCACAGGGAAAUUGUCAGUGUUUUGCCUGGGGCUGAAUUUAUCCAUAGACUUCAGACUCUUACCUGGCCCCAUGAGGAAGGGUACUGACGUUCUUUCAGGCAAUAAUAGAGCAUAUAUAUUAACUAAUCAUAUUGAUAAAGUAAGACAAGUCUUCCUCUGUUAAUAGUUCAAAGGCUGCACAUAACCAGGUCAUCUGAAGAGAAGGUACAGCAGCAUUUAACUAUUCGCUUCCCUAUGAGUUUUAAUAAAUGCAUUAGAGCAAGUAAGCAGUGUCUGUUGCAAACUAAAGAAGUGAUUUUAUGCAGGAAUUCUCCCUUUUGAAUUUCUGAAGUGUGGUCAGGUGGCUUUUGUACCUUUGUAAUUAAAUCUUCAAAACAUUUCAGAAGUGUGGGGAAGAAUACUACACUGUGAGUCCUUAGUGGAGGCCACUUCUGACUGUGAUCUUGAAUGAAUCACAUCACGUUGGGCUUCAGUUUCCUUCUGUAGAAUGAAGAGUAAAAACCAAAAACCAAACACAAAUGAAAAGAUCCCACCUUAAGGAUUUUUGUAGGGCUUAAACAUACUUGAUGUGAAAAAAAAAAAAGAUAAUACAAGCAUAAGAAAUUUUUCUCCCCAAGUUUUGCAAUGUGAGACUUGUUUUAGAGCCUCCAGUUUUUCAGGAUGAUCUAGUGCCCGCUAUGUCUACCUUUCGCAGUUACAGAUGAGUUCCUUCUAGUCUUAGUUGAGCCUUCUGCUUGUGCUCUUGCUCUUUCCCUCCCAGAACCCCACUCCCUCAUGCUCUUGUCUCUCUUGAGAUUUCAUCUUCUUGUGCUGCACUGGCUCCUCUCCUUAUAGCUUAUGAAUAUGCUUUUGCCUCAUCUAUCUUAAAGGAUCCUCUCCUGACUCUGUCCCCAUCUCUAUAGUGCUCUCUCUCACUCUCCCUUUAGAACAGAGUUCCAAGUACUCUCCACACUCACUUUCUCCUCUUCUUCGCUCCCCAUUCACUAUUCCAUCUAGUUUAAAUUGGCUUUUGUUUUCAUAAUUUCACUGAAAAACAUAUUCUGAAAGGGCACCUCAACCAGUGACCCUUCAUUUUACAUCUUAUUUGAUGUCUCUUUGGCAUCUUGUGUUGUUGUCCAUCCCUCUUCCUGAAACUGUCCCCUCACUGGGCCUGCAUGAUAGUAACAGCUCUCUUUGUUCUCCCUCUCCAAUAAGACCCUGCUCAGUCUCCUUAUAAGCUUCCCUUGCUCUUUACCCACCCCACAAAAUUCAUGAUAACCUGGAUCAUGAUCAUGAUUCAUUCCUCUCUUCUCAUUUGACUCACUAAUCCUAGGUGAUCUCCUCAUGUCAUCCAUGUCCAAAGCUUUAGCCACCUGUGUGACUGCCAGAUCUGAGGACCAGAUGCCUAUUUUUAGCUUCUGAUUCAUAGUUAUCUUGGUCUAAGUUUAUUAUACUCAAAACCAAACUCAGUGUCUUCUGUUUUGUAUCACACUUGAUCUUCCUCACUACACUUAUUGCUCUGACACUGCCCAUACAGCCUCAGAGCUCUAGGAACCUAAGAGUAAUCUUGAAUGUACUUUCUUUCAACUCCCAUAUCCAGUUUCUAAAUCCUUUGGUUCUUUUAAAAGAUUGAAUAAAUCCUCUGCUUUUCUACCCUGUUUAUAUAAAUAACCUGGCUCAGACUUUUCAUGACUACAUAUCCCUACAAAAGCAAUAACUUUCUACAUGGAGUUCCACCACCACAUUGUUCUUUGGUUUACCUUGCAAAUAACACUGUGUAUCUUACACAAUGCAAAUUUGGUUGUGUUAUUUUCCUUGUUAAAAUAUAAAUGAUUCAGCAUGACACAAUCUAAUUUUGCUUACCUUUCUAGUGCCAAACUCAGACCCCCCCCCCUUUUUUUUUAACCUGAUGACACCAUAGCAAGAUUUCAGGCCUUGGUGCCUUUGCAUGUACUCUAUUCUCUGUCCACAUUAUACUUGGCUCUCGGCCUGAACUGUUCUCCCAUUCCCUGCAAGAGUUAGCUCUUUGAAGCCAUUCUUAACCUUCCUAAUUCAGUUUUCUUCCACCUUCUUUUGCCCAUGCUGUAUGUUGUACUAUCUUUAUUCUCACUUAUUGCAGUAUUUGACAUUCAUUUUUUCACAUUCUGGUGUCCACACUGUGAGCUGCUUGGGGAAAAGGAUGAAAACAUAAUUCUUAUUUUAUCUCUAGCAUAAUACUUGGUACAUGAAAUAACUGAUGUUAACCCUGAAUAAUCUGUUUGCUAAAUAAAUAUGGAACCAGGUUUAUAGUCUUUUCACAAGCUGUACCAUAUCUAAAUGGCUAGAAUAACUAGGAGAUUUUUCUAAAAAUGUGUUGGCAUGAAAUUUUAAAGUGGAAUUGAUUAUCAGUGAUUCUUGUUACUGACUUAUAGACAUGACAGCCACCAGUUUUUAAUAAAAGUGACAUAAAAUGAACCCAUUUAUAGACCGUAUUUCUCUGAACUCCCAUAGCUGGUACUGUCUCCCCUCCAUGUCCUCCUCUGUCAACAGCCAGCAUUACAGCCCCACCCUCUCUGUUACCACAGCCUUGGAUCUUCACAUGCUCUUCCUUUGAGGCUCGGAGUACUUGAACUCACUGCUUUGCUUCACAACUAUUACAGAUCGAUCAUAAAUCCAUUUGUGUGAUCCAUGAAAUAAAUCAACUAACAGCAGCAAGAUUUUUUUUUUUUAAAUGCAUGUAGUGCUGGUCUGUGCUUAGGGGUGUGUGCUCAAAAAUUAAUUUUACCUUCAUUUGGAUUUCUUUUCUUCCCUCUAAAGUAUCCACAUAAUAAUAUUUCACAAAGAGAAAGCAUGAUUGGAGGACAGGGAGGGUGAGUGGUAAGUAGUCCCUCAAAUGACUGUUAAACAAAUGUUAGUGUCCGAUGAAUUGGAUUUUUCUUAGGUUUAAAUAGACUGAAGGGAUUUGGUUUCUGAAGUAUGCCUAUUGUGCCCAGCGUGGAACAAAUUGCAACCACUGUUUUCCAUGAAAAUACUCCUGCCAGACUCUAAGAGUGUAUUUUCUCUGACUAAAUUGGCAUGUCCAUGAGAACAGCAGAAAGCCUAAAUAAUUUAUAAGUGAAGUUUGUCUUCAACUGAUAAAGUUUGGUAGUAUUUGUCAAUUGCCAUAGCCGCACUUGAUAUCUUGCUCACUGUUCCCAAUCUCUUUGGCAUUGAGUUUUUCCAUUCUUUUCUCCUCCUCUCAGACUCAGGUACAGUUUUUCUGAUUAAGUAAUACCAGCUCAAGCUAGUGUUUAGUGGGUGAGGCUAUGGAAGGAGAACUUUAAGACAAGGUGUGCUUCUUCAAACUUUCCAAAUAAGUAUUUUUAGGCAAAACAGGUAUUUUAAGCUAUGGCUGGCAGGUUUUAGAUUCUCAAUAAAUACUUGUUGAAGGAACAAAUGUAAGAAGGCGGGAAUAAUCAUGAUGGGUCAUUAGGGGAGAUGUUUUGGGACAGAUGACCAGUUCUGUGUGCCUAUUCAGAAUGGGCUUUGUGUAAAUGCAAGCUCAGCUCUAUUGGUCCCCCUCGCAAGACUGAAGUUGUCAAAGUUCAGUUCCCUCUCCUGUCUGCCUAGAUCCGAGAGACACACUUGCAGUCAUUUCAUUCAGGUUUAGCAUGGGAACGUGACCCUCCUGAUUUCCUAUCCUUAAUUAUCUACAGAUCUUAUUUUCUUAGAUGUUGUUUGUUUAAUGUCCUGUUUCAUGUCUUUGUAGUGGAAUAGACCCUUUUCCUGGGUUCUAGACCUGUUUCUGCCAGUUGCUUGUCAUGUGAUCUUGGGUUCUAUGGCUUGCACUGAAAAAUCUUACUGAUGGAACCCUGUACUCAGAAAUCCGGCCCAAGCUGCUAAUAUUUUUCACCUGGAUUAUUGCAAUAGCCUGGGAGCUUUGCACUCACUGUUCUGUCUACCUGAAAUACUUUGUUGCAACAUAUUCUCAUGAGUAGCUCCCUUACUCAUGGGUUCUACUCAAACUCACCUGUUUAAAUGUUAUCAAGGAGAAGAUCUCUCAUUAACCCUACAAAACAUCACCCCACCUAACACUCCUUACCUGUCCCCUUUUGUUCUCUUUCAUUUUAUUUUCUCUAGCCCUUGUAUGUACUUGAGAUACAUUAAGAUUUAUUAUAAUCUGCUGGCACCAAUGGCAUGUAAACUCCAUGAGGGCUUCAUUACUCUUUUAGUGACUUAUAUUUCCUGGAACCUAGUACAGUGCCUGGUACAUAUCAGGUACUCAAUAAAUAUUUAGUGAAUGAAUAAAGGAAUACACUUAAAUUCUGUUCAGAUGUAAUUAUAAGAAUAAGCUAAACACAUGCUACAGCUAAGGCAUCCAUUUCCACCUGGAUCCACAUCCUUCCUGAUUUAUGUUCCUUAAUCUGAACCAGCAGCAACCCAUAUAUUUCUUUCAGUCUUGCUGUCAGUCUAAGGUAUGUGAUGCAGCGGAUUUCCAAGAGUGAUGAAAGAAGAAUUUGAUCUUGCUCACCACUACAAAAUGUGUAUUUAUUUUUUCCUUUUAUAUUUUAAUUGUUUAAACAUUUGGAGAGGAUUGUCCUGCUGUGGUAAACUUAUACUCAUUAAAUUGUCAAGUGUAA